rnacentral:rRNA from 1 species
CCUACGGGAGGCAGCAGUAGGGAAUAUUGGGCAAUGGAGGCAACUCUGACCCAGCCAUGCCGCGUGCAGGAUGAAGGCGUUAUGCGUUGUAAACUGCUUUUAUAUAGGAAGAAAGAGUUCUUGCGAGAACAGUUGACGGUACUAUAUGAAUAAGCACCGGCUAACUCCGUGCCAGCAGCCGCGGUAAUACGGAGGGUGCAAGCGUUGUCCGGAUUUAUUGGGUUUAAAGGGUGCGUAGGCGGUUUAUUAAGUCAGUGGUGAAAGACGGUCGCUCAACGAUUGCAGUGCCAUUGAUACUGGUAGACUUGAGUGAGAUUGAGGUAGCUGGAAUGGAUAGUGUAGCGGUGAAAUGCAUAGAUAUUAUCCAGAACACCAAUUGCGUAGGCAAGUUACUAAGUCUCAACUGACGCUGAGGCACGAAAGUGUGGGUAUCAAACAGGAUUAGAUACCCUGGUAGUCCACACUGUAAACGAUGAUAACUAACUGUUGGUUUUCGAAUCAGUGGUACAGAGAAAUCGUUAAGUUAUCCACCUGGGGAGUACGCCGGCAACGGUGAAACUCAAAUGAAUUGACGG